ACUUGAAUGAUUUAAUUAAUUGGGAUUUUAAUGUUAUAAUGAUUAAAUUAGUAUUUUAUUUAAUUAAAUUAUAGGAACUCGGCAAAUUUAGUGUUCGCCUGUUUAACAAAAACAUGUCCUUUUGUUUAUUUAUUUAAGGUCUGACCUGCCCAAUGAGGAAUUCAAUGGCCGCAGUAUUUUAACUGUGCUAAGGUAGCAUAAUCAUUUGUCUUUUAAUUGAGGGCUGGAAUGAAAGGUUGGACGAGAUAUUAGCUUUCUUUAGUUUAAUUUUAAGAAUUUAAUUUUUGAGUUAAAAAGCUUAAAUUUAUUUGUUGGACGAGAAGACCCUAUAGAUCUUUAUAAUUUUAUAUUUUGAUAAUUUAGUGAUUUUAUUUAUUGUAAGUAGAGGAAUUAUUUUGUUGGGGUGACUGUAGAAUUUUAUUAACUUCUAUUAUUUUUAUUUCAUUGAUUGAUGUUUUUUUGAUCCAUAUAUUUAUGAUUAAAAGAUUAAGUUACCUUA
rnacentral:rRNA from 1 species